rnacentral:rRNA from 1 species
UACGGAGGGAGCUAGCGUUGUUCGGAAUUACUGGGCGUAAAGCGCACGUAGGCGGCUUUGUAAGUUAGAGGUGAAAGCCCGGGGCUCAACUCCGGAACUGCCUUUAAGACUGCAUCGCUUGAAUCCGGGAGAGGUGAGUGGAAUUCCGAGUGUAGAGGUGAAAUGCGUAGAGAUGUGGAGGAACACCGAUGGCGAAGGCAGCCUUCUGGGCCAACACUGACGCUCAUGCACGAAAGCGUGGGGAGCAAACAGG